rnacentral:tRNA from 1 species
UAGCUCAGUCAGUUGAGCGUGGCGCUAACAACGCCAAGGUCACGGGUUUGAUUCCCGU